rnacentral:tRNA from 1 species
GGGCCCGUAGCUUAGCCAGGUAGAGCGCCCGGCUCAUAACCGGGUGGUCCGGGGUUCAAGUCCCCGCGGGCCCA